rnacentral:rRNA from 1 species
ACUGGCAACUUGGAGAAGUGGCAAGCCUAUUUUGAUCAUAUCUUUGAAUAUGUCUAUAGGAUUGUAUUAAAAUUGAAUAAGCUUUGUUUAUAUAUUGAUAAUGACMGUAUAUAUAUCGUGUCUUGACUAAUUGCGUGCCAGCAGUCGCGGUAAUACGUAAGAGACUAGUGUUAUUCAUCUUAAUUAGGUUUAAAGGGUACCUAGGCGGUCAAUAUAGCUUCUAGAAUGUUAGUACUUGACUAGAGUUUUAUGUAAGAGGGCAGUACUUGAGGAGGAGAGAUGAAAUUCUAUGAUACCAAAGGGACUCGGUAAAGGCGAAGGCAGCCUUCUAUGUAAAAACUGACGUUAAAGGACGAAGGCACAGAGCACAAACCAGGAUUAGAUACCCAAGUAGUCUUUGCAGUAAAUGAUGAAUGCCAUAGGUUAGAUUAAGAUUUAAUAUUAUAAUUAUAAAUUAAAUAUUAAACAUUAUUUAGU